UUCAUUUUUGCUUCUUCCAUAGUCACUAUUAUAAAACUUCGGGUCUUAUUCUCAUAUGCCCCCGCAAGCGAGGGCCUGGUCGAUUAGUGAGACCAGGUGCGACGCGGGGGCUACAGCCCGGCCUCAGCGAGGUCCCCUCGGUAGGUGCCUUCCGCGUCACGGAGCGCCGUGACCGGGGGUAACCCUGGCCGGGCACAGGCCCGUCUGGGUUAGCCCGCCUGAUCAUGCCGUUGGCUUAGAUGAAGGCGGGUGUUACGGGCGGGCUACAGAUUC
rnacentral:snoRNA from 1 species